rnacentral:lncRNA from 1 species
GCAAAUUCUGUUAGGAUUUAGCUUUUAUAUCAUGUACUAAUCACUUUGCUAAUCCAAAUUAGGCUUGGUAAAAUGAGAUUAAGGAAAUGAGAGGUGUGAUGCAAAAUACACAAGUGUGCUUAGCAUGGUCUUCCCAUACGUGAACAGUACCAUGCAAGCAUCCAAAUCCACUUAAAAUCAUCUAAUAAACACAAUGGAAGUGGUAUUUUGUUGGUAGCAUCAACCAAUUUUGAAUUCUUGAAUUUCCCUCCAAAAUGCACAUGAUUGAGCAAGUUAUCACAUGAGCAAUUUUCAAGCAAGGCAAUGGUUGAUUUGGAAAGUAUUGG